UACGUAGGGGGCAAGCGUUGUCCGGAAUUAUUGGGCGUAAAGAGCGUGUAGGCGGUCCGGUAAGUCAGCUGUGAAAGUCAAGGGCUCAACCCUUGAAAGCCGGUUGAUACUGUCGGGCUAGAGUCCGGAAGAGGCGAGUGGAAUUCCCGGUGUAGCGGUGAAAUGCGCAGAUAUCGGGAGGAACACCAAUGGCGAAGGCGGGUUGCUGGGACGUUACUGACACUGAGGCGCGAAAGCGUGGGGAGCGAACAGG
rnacentral:rRNA from 1 species